AUUGAACGCUGGCGGAAGGCCUAACACAUGCAAGUCGAGCGAUCGGCGGACGGGUGAGUAAUGUAUGGGGACUGCCCGAUAGAGGGGGCUAACUACUGGAAACGGUGGCUAAUACCGCAUCCUAGCGGAUAACCCAUAUGGGAUUAGCUAGUAGGUGGGGUAAAGGCUCAACUAGUCGACGAUCUAUAGCUGGUCUGAGAGGAUGAUCAGCCACACUGGGACUGAGACACGGCCCAGACUCCUACGGAGGCAGCAGUGGGGAAUAUUGCACAAUGGGCGCAAUCCUGAUGCAGCCAUGCAGAGUGUAUGAAGAAGGACUUAGGGUUGUAAAGUACGUUCAGCGGGGAGGCGUUACCCGCAGAAGAAGCACCGGCUAACUCCUUGCCAGCAGCCGCGGUAAUUC
rnacentral:rRNA from 1 species